ACGUAGGGUGCGAGCGUUAAUCGGAAUUACUGGGCGUAAAGCGUGCGCAGGCGGUUAUAUAAGUCAGAUGUGAAAUCCCCGGGCUCAACCUGGGAACUGCAUUUGAGACUGUAUGACUAGAGUGUGGCAGAGGGGGGUGGACGUCCACGUGGAGCAGCGAAAUGCGUAGUGAUGUGGAGGAACACCGACGGCGAAGGCAGCACCCAGGGUCAAUACUGACGCACAUGCACGAAAGGGUGUGGUGCACACAG
rnacentral:rRNA from 1 species